GCAGACGGCGGAGAGCAGAGAGGGAGCGCGCCUUGGCUCGCUGGCCUUGGCGGCGGCUCCUCAGGAGAGCUGGGGCGCCCACGAGAGGAUCCCUCACCCGGGUCUCUCCUCAGGGAUGACAUCAUCCGUCCACCUCCUUGUCUUCAAGGACCACCUCCUCUCCAUGCUGAGCUGCUGCCAAGGGGCCUGCUGCCCAUCUACACCUCACGAGGGCACUAGGAGCACGGUUUCCUGGAUCCCACCAACAUACAAAGCAGCCACUCACUGACCCCCAGGACCAGGAUGGCAAAGGAUGAAGAGGACCGGAACUGACCAGCCAGCUGUCCCUCUUACCUAAAGACUUAAACCAAUGCCCUAGUGAGGGGGCAUUGGGCAUUAAGCCCUGACCUUUGCUAUGCUCAUACUUUGACUCUAUGAGUACUUUCCUAUAAGUCUUUGCUUGUGUUCACCUGCUAGCAAACUGGAGUGUUUCCCUCCCCAAGGGGGUGUCAGUCUUUGUCGACUGACUCUGUCAUCACCCUUAUGAUGUCCUGAAUGGAAGGAUCCCUUUGGGAAAUUCUCAGGAGGGGGACCUGGGCCAAGGGCUUGGCCAGCAUCCUGCUGGCAACUCCAAGGCCCUGGGUGGGCUUCUGGAAUGAGCAUGCUACUGAAUCACCAAAGGCACGCCCGACCUCUCUGAAGAUCUUCCUAUCCUUUUCUGGGGGAAUGGGGUCGAUGAGAGCAACCUCCUAGGGUUGUUGUGAGAAUUAAAUGAGAUAAAAGAGGCCUCAGGCAGGAUCUGGCAUAGAGGAGGUGAUCAGCAAAUGUUUGUUGAAAAGGUUUGACAGGUCAGUCCCUUCCCACCCCUCUUGCUUGUCUUACUUGUCUUAUUUAUUCUCCAACAGCACUCCAGGCAGCCCUUGUCCACGGGCUCUCCUUGCAUCAGCCAAGCUUCUUGAAAGGCCUGUCUACACUUGCUGUCUUCCUUCCUCACCUCCAAUUUCCUCUUCAACCCACUGCUUCCUGACUCGCUCUACUCCGUGGAAGCACGCUCACAAAGGCACGUGGGCCGUGGCCCGGCUGGGUCGGCUGAAGAACUGCGGAUGGAAGCUGCGGAAGAGGCCCUGAUGGGGCCCACCAUCCCGGACCCAAGUCUUCUUCCUGGCGGGCCUCUCGUCUCCUUCCUGGUUUGGGCGGAAGCCAUCACCUGGAUGCCUACGUGGGAAGGGACCUCGAAUGUGGGACCCCAGCCCCUCUCCAGCUCGAAAUCCCUCCACAGCCACGGGGACACCCUGCACCUAUUCCCACGGGACAGGCUGGACCCAGAGACUCUGGACCCGGGGCCUCCCCUUGAGUAGAGACCCGCCCUCUGACUGAUGGACGCCGCUGACCUGGGGUCAGACCCGUGGGCUGGACCCCUGCCCACCCCGCAGGAACCCUGAGGCCUAGGGGAGCUGUUGAGCCUUCAGUGUCUGCAUGUGGGAAGUGGGCUCCUUCACCUACCUCACAGGGCUGUUGUGAGGGGCGCUGUGAUGCGGUUCCAAAGCACAGGGCUUGGCGCACCCCACUGUGCUCUCAAUAAAUGUGUUUCCUGUCUUAACAAAAACUGAU
rnacentral:lncRNA from 1 species